GACGAACGCUUGCGGCGUGCCUAAGAAAUGCAAGUCGAACGGGGGCUUCGGCCCUAGUGGCGAACGGUCGCGUAACACGUGGGCAACCUGCCCUGAAGCGGGGGACAACAGCUCGAAAGAGCUGCUAAUACCGCAUGUGGACUGACAUGGCAUCUUGUUAGUCUAAAGUCUUCGGACACUUCAGGAUGGGCCCGCGGCCUAUCAGCUUGUUGGUGGGGUAACGGCCUACCAAGGCUUCGACGGGUAGCUGGUCUGAGAGGACGACCAGCCGGAUUGG
rnacentral:rRNA from 1 species